CAUUAAGAUAUCGCCUUAUAUAGCUUCCAUAUUUUAAAGAAAAAUAAAUGAUAAUAUUAAUGUCUUUAACUUAAUUUACCUUCCAUAUAUAGCUUCCACCCAUGAGGAAAAUGGAGAAAGAAAGAAGGCAUGAUAUUAAAAAAAAUGUUUUGUUAACAGUUGAAAAAACAGAGAUAACUAUUAGGAUGGAGUUGCCUAACCCUAGAGUUCAAGCUAUAUAUAAGAGCUAUCUAGAGUCUUAUAAGUGAAGCUGCUUGUA
rnacentral:lncRNA from 1 species